rnacentral:rRNA from 1 species
CCUACGGGAGGCAGCAGUGAGGAAUAUUGGUCAAUGGACGAGAGUCUGAACCAGCCAAGUCGCGUGAAGGAUGACUGCCCUAUGGGUUGUAAACUUCUUUUAUAUGGGAAUAAAAUGUUCCACGUGUGGGGUUUUGUGUGUACCAUAUGAAUAAGGAUCGGCUAACUCCGUGCCAGCAGCCGCGGUAAUACGGAGGAUUCGAGCGUUAUCCGGAUUUAUUGGGUUUAAAGGGUGCGUAGGUGGGUUGUUAAGUCAGGUGUGAAAGUUUGGGGCUCAACCGUAAAAUUGCAGUUGAAACUGGCAGUCUUGAGUACAGUAGAGGUGGGCGGAAUGCGUGGUGUAGCGGUGAAAUGCUUAGAUAUCACGAAGAACUCCGAUUGCGAAGGCAGCUCACUGGACCGCAACUGACACUGAGGCUCGAAAGUGUGGGUAUCAAACAGGAUUAGAUACCCCAGUAGUC